AACCCCAUAGGAGGUGGGGUUCAUCGAGGAACCUCCUUAGUUGGUGGGGGGUUCUUGCAGGAACCUAACUGCCCAACUGAAACAUUUGGAUUUGUAUUUGAAAGGACAGCAGGUGCAGGCAGGUGCAACUUAAAAAUAUAAAGAUCUCCUUAAUUUAAGGUUUGUCACUUGUAUGAUCUAAAUUGAUAUUGUUUUAUAAUGAUACUAUCUAUCUUUUCAUAACUUUCUAAAACAGAAAAUGAACACAAUUCAAUGGAUAUCAAUCAACAAAGAGAUCAUCCUCCUCCCUUACUUCUUCAAUGAAAAUAUCAUAGGCCUCUACGUUAUGGACAAGACUUCACCCUCCCUACACCUCUGAUGAAUAUAUCAGGAAACCUGUUCGAUCACCAUGCACUGCAAAAUCAUUCUGCCUAUGGAUACGCAUCAACACAUUAACAUCAACAGGACAAAGGAUGUACACAUUGGACUUGGGGCUCUGCUGGGAGUUUGCCUCAUAUUUAGAGGUUUUUUAUUCUGCUUUGCCACUAAAAUCAUAAUAAACACUGACAACUAAAAUAUUGUAUUAUUGUUAUGCGUAUUAUAAUUAUUAUUAAUAAUAAUUGGGGAGGGGGUAGUUAAAAAAUGAACCCCAAAAGGUUCUUCAAAAGGUUAUUUGAGGAUCCGUUAAAAGGGGUUCUUUGAAGAACUUAAGCGGUUCCCACCCAGUUUCAAUUUGAAGAACCCCUCAAGGAUACUCCAGAAACCUUCUAUUUUUAGAGUGUGGUUAUACUGUAAGCCUAUCAAAGAUGGUGGAUGAAUGAAUAUGUCUUACUCAGGCAGUUUACCAUUGGAAAAAUGGUCAAGGUUCCUGUCUGUGUAAGUUGGCGUUCCCAUGUGAGACCAAUGGCUCUGGUCUACUUAUUGUCUCUCCCCGCUCUCCCCACCCGCAGGUGGGAAAUAAGUAGACCAGAGUGGCGCCGCCCCCAGAGUGGGAUGUCUUGCUUUCUCUACAGCCUCUGGAUCUAUACUGUAUUACUUACCCCUACAUGUACCUAUUGGUGCUUUGUUUCCAUCCCUUUAAUUUUUAAAGACAAUACAUAGGCCAGUACGUAAAUUAUUUUUACAAAACCACACACACAAUGGUUUUGACUUGUAGAUAUGACUGAAUGAUUUUGUCACGUUGUUUCUUAUUGUGUUGCUGUAAGCCUAUGUGUAGGCCUAUGUUUUGUCUAUUACAAUAAAUUGUUUGAACUAAAGUAUCUCAUUUGAAAUGAAUAAUAUGAAAUGCCAUGUUUGUGUAUAUUUGACAGGUUUGGAUGAGCGCAUCAGUGGUACUUUGUGUGGAACCUUGAUGAUAAGGACCAGAGAAUAUAGCUCGUUUGUGCCCCCUGUGAUCACAACUUUGAACUGACAUAAAGCCAGUGGCCACACCAACAAAAUUGAGGGAAACUGGCUCCAUUGGUUUACAAAGGCUCAAUAAAAACAAACAUUGGUCUCACAAAACAUAACUAUACAUAAAGGCUUAAAAAC